rnacentral:rRNA from 1 species
GAUGAACGCUGGCGGCGUGCCCAAUACAUGCAAGUCGAGCGAACGGACGAGAAGCUUGCUUCUCUGAUGUUAGCGGCGGACGGGUGAGUAACACGUGGAUAACCUACCUAUAAGACUGGGAUAACUUCGGGAAACCGGAGCUAAUACCGGAUGAUAUUUUGAACCGCAUGGUUCAAAAGUGAAAGACGGUCUUGCUGUCACUUAUAGAUGGAUCCGCGCUGCAUUAGCUAGUUGGUAAGGUAACGGCUUACCAAGGCAACGAUGCAUAGCCGACCUGAGAGGGUGAUCGGCCACACUGGAACUGAGACACGGUCCAGACUCCUACGGGAGGCAGCAGUAGGGAAUCUUCCGCAAUGGGCGAAAGCCUGACGGAGCAACACCGCGUGAGUGAUGAAGGUCUUCGGAUCGUAAAACUCUGUUAUUAGGGAAGAACAUAUGUGUAAGUAACUGUGCACAUCUUGACGGUACCUAAUCAGAAAGCCACGGCUAACUACGUG